UGGCACCUUUGUUGAGACAAUGAUGUGAAUGAAGAAAGUAGGAAGAAAUGCGUCAGUUUCAUCUUUAUGAAUUAAGACUAAUGAUAUACAAUAUUGCACAGGGCUGUUUAAACUCCUGAUGGAUUGGUGUAACAAUCAUUCAAGGAGUCUAAGGGAAUGGAAUUCUGCUGUUGAGAAGCUGAAGAGUGAGGCACUGAGAAUUCUGCUGUCAAAGGACUACGUGGAGAAAGAACACCUCCAGCUCUCUCACCAGAAACUCAGUCAGCUUCAAGAAGAAUUUGGUCAACUCAUGGUGGAAAGGAUUAUCUGGUUAAAGAAGGCGAAUGAAUUUUUUAACAGUGCUAACAAGGGCAACAUCACCUCAAUCCUGAAGGUUGCUAGUUGCAGACCCAACACUGAGAAGUGG
rnacentral:sRNA from 1 species